rnacentral:lncRNA from 1 species
CAUUUUUCAUUUGUGCUAUAUAGGCAGCAUGCGGUGUUUGGGGCAUUCAACUUCCCAUCUGGCCUCUGCUUUGGGAGUGGCCUGGCAGCUCCCAGGCAAAAGGACCCAUCCCGCCUGGCUCUUGGUGUUUGGAGCACAGGACAGGACAGUUUUGCUUCGCUCUUGAAGUCCCCCUUUCUAAUCAAGGGGCAUGGACUGGUGGCACCCUGUAUCCUCCACUCACUUGGUGUAGAGAAUGAAAGCAAGCCUACUCUUUAUGUUAAAAUACAACUUGCAACUUGCUGUGCAAAGGCGACACUCCCAAAUCUCUCAUCAGUGGCCAACGGGACAUCUAAUUGCUUAGCUGGGCAAACGGGACCCGUUCCUGACUGCAGAAGCUGGAUAAAAACUACGUUCCGGUUUACUCCCAAAUGUUUACUCUCCCCACGCUCACCAAAGGGCCCUGCAUGCAGUUCACGUGCCGUCAAGAAGACAAAGCAUAAAGAUGUAAGGACCCCCGGGCAGGGAGAGGGGAGGAGCCCACGUUCCUGGGGUGUAAGCAGAACCCGUCAAGUUUUCUGCUUGAAAAGACCAUUGCCACUGCUUUGCUCCUGAGCGUCCUGCUUCGUGGUGAGAAGAAGACAUGGAAGUUGCUCUGAAGGGAUUUGUAAUCUGCAUCAUAAAUGUUUUCCAGGCCUCUCACAAUAAAACUCUUUGUGCAGAUGUUUGCCGAUCCCUGGGAUGCAUAUUCUGCCUCCAAUUUUUGUAGAAAAUGUUGUGUGUGUGUGUGUGUGUGUGUGUGUGUGUGUGUGUGUGUGAUAGUAACAAGCAAAACUGAAUAGUAAAGACUGUGAUAUAUGUGUUGCUGUACAAAGCCGAUCUGAAGCCAUGCUGCUUUUCUUCUCUCCUUGCUGAUGUCCUCCUCCAAGGAGAAGAAAACUUUGCUCUGAACUUUGAAACUUCAGUUUUUUUGUUUUUGGGUUUUUUUUUUUUUUUUUUUUUUUGGUUUUUUUUGUUACUGGGGAUCGAACUUGGGACCUUGCGCCUUCGAGGCAGGCGGUAGCACCACUGGGCUAAAUCCCUGGCCCUGAACUUCAGUAUUUUCUAAUCAUCACCAAAUAUCUGUAAGUAGCUGCAUCUCACUCCCUCUAAUGACAACUGAACAACAGGAGGAAUUCCCCGGAGCACCCUUACCAAUCCCUCUCCCGCCCCA